rnacentral:rRNA from 1 species
CUUUUCUUGUUAGUUUUUGAAGUAUGGCCUGCCCACUGAUUUUUAUUGAAGGGCCGCGGUAUUUUGACCGUGCAAAGGUAGCAUAAUCAUUAGUUCUUUAAUUGUGAUCUGGUAUGAAUGGCUUGACGAGGCAUGGGCUGUCUUAAGUUUGGAAUAGGUUUAUUGAAUUUGGUUUUUGAGUUAGAAUUCUUAAAUGUUUUUAUGGGACGAGAAGACCCUAUAGAGUUUGACAUAUGUUAUAUAGUUUUGUUUGGUUUGUUACCUAAUUGCUUUUGUUAUUUGUUUUGUUGGGGUGAUGGGAAGAAUUUUUUUAACUCUUCUUUGUUUUGAUAUAUUUAUAUAUAUUUGUUUUGAUCCAUUUAUUUUGAUUAUAAGAUUAAAUUACCUUAGGGAUAACAGCGUUAUCCUCCUUGAGAGUUCUUAUUGGCGGGGGGGUUUGCGACCUCGAUGUUGGAUUAAGGUUAAUUUUUGGUGUAGAAGCUGAAUUGAUUAGGUCUGUUCGACCUUUAAAAUCUUACA